rnacentral:snRNA from 1 species
AGAGGCAUGUAAAAAUCUGUCACCUCAUCAAUUGACUGGAUUGAUUCUCUUGAACUGGCUGGCUAGGUAGGUGUUGCCUUACUCCCUCACCACUCCACAUGGAUUCCUUCCUGAGGCUGCACAUUCAGUGAAAGAGAGCAACCUUCCCUAACAGAGGAAGAUUGUUCUUUGGCCAAGAGUACAUGAGUAGCUGAGUGGCCCUGCUAGAACUUCCAAACAAGCUCACCAACUUUGAAGCCUGUAGGGAGCACCCUUGAACAUAAAUAUCAGUUCAGAAGGAGCUGAAAU